rnacentral:rRNA from 1 species
AUUUUGGACAAUGGGGGAAACCCUGAUCCAGCCAUCCCGCGUGUAAGAUGAAGGCCCUCGCGUUGUAAGGUACUCUUGGCAGAGAAGAAAAGGACUCCCCUAAUACGGGAUACUGCUGACGGUAUCUGCAGAAUAAGCACCGGCUAACUCCGUGCCAGCAGCCGCGGUAAUACGUAGGGUGCAAGCGUUAAUCGGAAUUAGUGGGCGUAAAACGUGUGUAGGCGGUUCGGAAAGAAAGAUGUGAGAUCCCAGGGCUCAACCUUGGAACUGAAAUUUUAACUGCCGAGCUAGAGUAUGUCAGAGGGGGGUAGAAUUCCACGUGUAGCAGUGAAAUGCGUAGAUAUGUGGAGGAAUACCGAUGGCGAAGGCAGCCCCCUGGGAUAAUACUGACGCUCAGACACGAAAGCGUGGGGAGCAAACAGG